CCGUAGGGUAACCUGCGGAGGGAUCAUUACCGAGUUUUCAACUCCCAAACCCACUGUGAACAUAUACCUUUGUUUUCGUUGCCUCGGCGGUUCGCGCCGCCGGGUGACACCCAAACUCUGAUUUGAUAUAGCAAGUCUUUCUGAGUAAAACAUUCUAAAUGAAUCAAAACUUUCAACAACGGAUCUCUUGGUUCUGGCAUCGAUGAAGAACGCAGCGAAAUGCGAUAAGUAAUGUGAAUUGCAGAAUUCAGUGAAUCAUCGAAUCUUUGAACGCACAUUGCGCCCGCCAGUAUUCUGGCGGGCAUGCCUGUUCGAGCGUCAUUUCAACCCUCAAGACCCCUUCGGGGGACUUGGUGUUGGGGACCGGCACAGGGCCUGCUUGCUUGUCUCGCAGCGCCUCGCCGCCUCCGAAAUGAAUUGGCGGCCUCGUCGCGGCCUCCUCUGCGUAGUAGCACAACCUCGCAACGGGAGCGUGACGCGGCCACUGCCGUAAAACAACCCAAUUUUAUUAGAGUUGACCUCGAAUCAGGUAGGAAUACCCGCUGAACUUAAGCAUAUCAAAGCGGGGGGAAGAAGAGCGGGGUUGGGAAAAAACAUUUUUUGUUUAUUUUAUGCCGGGUUG
rnacentral:rRNA from 1 species